UUGGUGGGGUGAUGGCCUACCAAGGCGACGACGGGUAGCCGGCCUGAGAGGGUGUCCGGCCACACUGGGACUGAGAUACGGUCCAGACUCCUACGGGAGGCAGCAGUGGGGAAUAUUGCACAAUGGGCGCAAGCCUGAUGCAGCGACGCCGCGUGGGGGAUGACGGCCUUCGGGUUGUAAACCUCUUUCACCAUCGGCGAAGCCGGGAGCUUUUGUUUCUGGUGACGGUAGGUGGAGAAGAAGCACCGGCCAACUACGUGCCAGCAGCCGCGGUAAUACGUAGGGUGCGAGCGUUGUCCGGAAUUACUGGGCGUAAAGAGCUCGUAGGUGGUUUGUCGCGUUGUCCGUGAAAUUCCCUGGCUUAACUGGGGGCGUGCGGGCGAUACGGGCAGACUGGAGUACUGCAGGGGAGACUGGAAUUCCUGGUGUAGCGGUGGAAUGCGCAGAUAUCAGGAGGAACACCGGUGGCGAAGGCGGGUCUCUGGGCAGUAACUGACGCUGAGGAGCGAAAGCGUGGGGAGCGAACAGGAUUAGAUACCCUGGUAGUCCACGCCGUAAACGGUGGGUACUAGGUGUGGGUUUCCUUCCUUGGGAUCCGUGCCGUAGCUAACGCAUUAAGUACCCCGCCUGGGGAGUACGG
rnacentral:rRNA from 1 species